AAUGAACGCUAGUAGUAUGCUUAACACAUGCAAGUCGAACGAAAGUUUUACACUUUCGUGGCGUACGGGUGAGUAAAUGCAGAAUUCUUCCUUCCAGUUCAGUACAAAAUUGCUUCUAGUAAUAAAUUCUGAAUAUUUUUAAAGGUUUAUUCCGCUGAAAGAUGAAUCUGCUUAAGAUUAGGUUGUUGGUAAUUUAAAAGCUUACCAAGCCGAUGAUCUUUAGUUGGUCUGAGAGGAUGAUCAACCACACUGGAACUGAAACAAGGUCCAGGCUAAUUCGUUGGCCAGCAGUGAGGAAUAUUGGAGUCAAUGAACGAAAGUUUGAUCCAGC
rnacentral:rRNA from 1 species